CAAAAACAUCACCUCCAGCAUAAAAAGUAUUGGAGGCACUGCCUGCCCGUGACUCAAGUUAAACGGCCGCGGUAUCCUGACCGUGCAAAGGUAGCAUAAUCAUUUGUUCCUUAAUUAGGGACUUGUAUGAAAGGCAAGACGAGGGUUUAACUGUCUCUCACCUCCUAUCAGUGAACUUGACCUCCCAGUGAAGAGGCUGGGAUAAGACAAUAAGACGAGAAGACCCUAUGGAGCUUUAACUAGUUAUUUUACUGAAUACAUACACACCCCACCAGGGUAUAAACAAAUUUUUACUAAAAUAACAGUUUCGGUUGGGGUGACCUCGGAGAACAAAUCAUCCUCCGAAUGAAUUUAACUAAGACCUACCCGUCAAAGUGGGUAUUUCCUUCAUAAAUUGACCCAAACCAAUUUGAUCAAUGGACCAAGUUACC
rnacentral:rRNA from 1 species